CACAAAUUUCAGAGCAAUCCCGACAUGAACCAAGGAAGAGGACCAACAGGAGGAACAAGAACAAGCAAAUGUGGACCGAGUCAGCUAAGAUGGUCACUGCAGUUCAAAGAGGUCAAGAUCGUCGACUCAAGUCGCCUUUCCUGAUCAAGAAGGACGACCCUGGUAUUCCAAGCAUCAAGUGCAAAAUCAGUGGAUACUCUUUUCAGAAGACACUCUACGACACAGGAUCUAACGUCAACAUAAUGGCCACAGUCACUUAUCAGCUCCUGCAUGGAACCAUGCCCCUACAACUAAUAUAUAUUCAGCUCCAGAUGACUUUCAGAUCAUUGACAUGGGAGAAGACAAGUACGAUCCACCCAUCAUCCUUGGAGGACCAUUCCUCAACACUAUCAAAACUCUAAGCAGGUCAGGACAAGAAGAAGACAACGCAACCGCAACCAGAGGAGGCAAAUCAUCAAGAACGGAUGGGUAGACUACGAAGGAGAAGUGAUAAGGUCUGAAGACAUAUAGCUUGAACAGAUCUGUCCUGAGGAGACCGUAGCACCGAGUCAGGUGUGGAGAGAGAAGAUAGUUACACACGAAGAGGAGGCGCCGCCGGAACCACCGACUACGCCAUCCAGCGAAUCCCAGGACGACUGAGAAAACGGAGAGUCCCGUUCGGAGGACUUAAAAAUACCGAACGCCUUGCCAAGAGGUAAACUUGGUAGUUAUCCUUUUCCAUUCAAUAGUUUAGUUAAUCAGGUUCAUGCUAUCUUGAAAAGAAAAUAAAAAUGUUAAAAAAAUAAGUAAGCCCCAUGUGAGUAUGCUCAUGGCAUAAAACCCAUAGGUAGAUUUACUGUGGUGGCAUAAAAAUAAAAUAAAUAAGUUUUCAUCUUACAAUAAAAAUAUAAAAAUAAUAAGUGCAUGGUCCUGCUAAAUAAGUAAUAUUUAUUGAGGAGGCUCAACAGGAUAAAGGCUAGAUAUUUAUGCUAACACUUAACCAGUUCCACAAAGCUUUGUUGUCUAUUUGAGCUCCACAGGAUUCAAGGAUCAAAAAAAGACUAGCAGACGGAGGACAUCCUAAUCGCUAUCAGGGUGCUGCCGACUUUCAAAUACACCUCCACCACCUGCUAGCUACAUCAGAAGAAAUUACGUCAAAAUCCAGCUUGGGGGAGAGCACCCCCAUUUAUCCAGCUAAGUGUUUCUACUCGCAUUUAUACUUUACUCAAAUAAUAAAAGAUGCAUAAUCAUGAAAACCCAAAUAAAGAUUUUAUGCUUUUAUAUAUAUAUCUUUGCUUAGUUUGCUAAACAAAUAAAUAAAGUUUGCUAUCAACCCUCAUGAUAAGCUCUCACAUGGAAAUGAUAAAUAGUUGCUUUGCCAUGUACCUAGUUGUCAAAAUUGAAAUCUCUCUCAAGUUUAGGCAUAACUGUUAUAAUUUAAACCUGCUCUAAACCUGAACUUGUGGGAAGAGUACUUGAUCUAAAGUCUAAGUUGUUAACGGAUAUGAUAUGGGAAGGUUAAGCUGUUGUUUAUCUGUUCCUAAAGAUGCUAGAAUUCUGGAGAAUUUUAUCUUUGAAAAAUCUUUAAAAUAUCACAUGAUGAGUUUCUGUAUGAUGAGAGUUUAAAAUCCUACCACAGCCAUAUAUACAUGCUUAUUAGACUUUGAGCCACACAUUUACUUUUUACUGCUUAUGAGCAUUGAGUAUGGUCAAGCUGUGUAGACCCUAAGGAGCUUGUCAUGUGGUUAAAAUCAAGAUUCACUUGCACGUUCAUUCAUACAUGCUACUUCUACUCCGGAAGUACCAUCCACAUAUAUCCACUCAUUUCCAUCUCCAAAUUCACCCAAAAUUAUUCUGCUCCUAAUCCAAGAGAGAAUAGCCAAAAAUAUUAUCCUAUCCCUGUUAUUCCCUGUGAAAUAAAUGCUCGAGUUAUCUUGGUUACUACCACUUGCUAUAUUAUUUCAGGAGAUGAGUGCUCUAAAAAAAGAAAAAAAAAAGAAGAAAAAAAUACGAGGAAAUAAAAAGGGGCUAGUGCCCAGAACCUCGAAAGAAAAGAAAAAGUGAGACGAGAGGUAAAAAUGGACAAGUGUCCGACAGUAGAAUUAGGGGUACAAGAUACCCACCUGAGAGGAAAUAAAAAGAAAAUAUAGAGCAUCUCAUUCUCCUCAAAAAGCUUCAAAGUGCAAGAAAUGUAUGUAUCCCCUUAAAUGAGCAAAAGUAGAAUUAGACUUUCACCAUUGUUAUCAUCAUCAUCACCAUACACCAUUCAUUCGCCACACAUGCACAUCUUGAUUUGACUUAUUGACUUGUUUCUCUAGAUCCAUGGUUUGACUAUGCAAUAAAUGUCUUGUAAGUAUGUAUUAGCUGUCUCCCACCUAUGAGCUCCAGAUAUCAAAACCUUAUUAGAGUAGGGUGAGAGAGAAGGCAAUAUCACUAUGCAUUAUACCAAUAAUACCACAUACUUUGAGAGAAGGCAUAUACCAUUACUGCCUCGGUAAGGAUCCAUAAAUACCACAAAAGAGAGAUCUGAGAGAGUCAUACAAGGAAUCUCUGAGUUUUAUUUGAAAAUCUACAAAAAACUCCAGAGCUAUAGCUGAUCAAGAAUAAGAGACAUGGCGCUUGACUUGACCGUUCUAUCUUUUAACUGCUCAAGACACAAGUGACGGUUACAAGCCCCAUGGUGAAAGGUAAAAUGAGUAAGUUUUAAGUCUUAACAGUUUAUUCUAAACUCAGAGAUGAGAUAUUACUUUUAAGGCAUGAAACCACUGCAGAAACUCUUGAGUUCAUCCUUGCUCAGGGACGAGCAAGAGGUAAGCUUGGGGGAGUUGUUGACGGUCCUUAAGUACCAAAUAUAAUCAUCAAAUAAAUAAAGAAAAGGAUCCAAAUGCAACCAACACCUAGACUUAGGGUUUUAUCUGACAGAAUUCCACGAGUUUUGGUGUUUGUCUAUUUCUGCAGGGGGUUAUCAGGAAAUAAGGAAGAAAGGCCCACAUGUCGGGAUUACAUAGAGAUAUCAACGCACCGCGCAAUUUUCUACCAUCUAGAAGACUCCAGAAGCCACGGGGAGAAAGCAGAGGCCGAAAGGGGCCAGGCCCAGGGCGCCCGCCCUCCUUCCCUGGGCGCCCGCCCUGUCCUGGACUCCGUUCGGGACUCUCUUCGCACACGACGUUCCACCGACCUAAAGGAUCAAGGAUAAUGUAGUACCACAUCGCCUACCGACCCAAAAACGCAUAGAGGAGGAGGACUAUAUAAGGAGACCCCCUUGACCCCUGUAGGAGACAAGAAGUUAUCAUAGAGAUUGAGGGGUGCCCUCGAAGGAAAACCUCUUCUCUAAAUAAUAUUUCUUUUUAGGCUUAGCAACCAAUGUAAGUAGAAAUAGAUCUUCUAGUUUCUACUAGAUUGAGAGAGAUAGAGUGGAGGUGUGAUCGGAGGAAGGCCGGCCUGUCGGUGUCUACUCCGAGUUGUACCUGCGGGAUCAAGUCUUCUAACCCGAGGCUUGCUCCUAAGAUUCUUCAGUAAUUCGACUUCUAAUUACUAGUAAGUUCUUGUUUUAUUGUUCUUUGGUUUAUGAGUUUACUUUAAUCCUCUUCCGGUUGAGUAUUAGAGUAAUCAUUGCUAGCGUAAACGUGGUGUUUAGGCUAGGGUACUCAUAGAUAUCCCCUGAGUAGCUGGACCGUGGUAGUAGCGAGGAACGUGACAUUUCCGAGUUACCUUUGCAGACCAUAUCUCGUUAGCAGGACGGGUAGGUUUAUAGGUGCGGGUCGAACAUCCUUUGUGUUGUCUAGAUUCCGUGAGCCUCCCCAAUAGAACAGUAGAUCAUCCUUACAAAGGUUAGAACGAGACUACGGUUGCAGUCUUCUCUAUACAUCACUCACAUCGAGAAACAUUCUUUGUAGCCUAAAGGGGUAAUAGCAAUAGAUUUGGUUAGUCAGAUGCACCCUUUCUCCCAGUGGUAAAAAUAUAAAUAUGAUACUCUAGAAAACCUCCCGGGUGAAAUGCUCACCGAUAUCUGUGCGCUUGCGGAUCAUUUCCUGAUUGCGUUACCAAAUAUCAACACCUUCCUUGCUUUUUAAAACUUUAUGAGGAGAAUGAGAUGCUCUUCUUUUUCUUUUCUCUCAGGUGGGUAUCUUGUACCCCUAAUUCUACUGUCGGACACUUGUCCAUUUUUACCUCUCGUCUCACUUUUUCUUUUCUUUCGAGGUUCCGAGCACUUGCUCCUUUUUAUUUCCUCGUUUUUGAGGCCAUUCGUGAACACCUCGGGAGCAGUCAUCCACGCUAGUGCUGCCAAGAUCAGUUUCUACAUCAAGGGGACGAAGGAGACGUUUUCCUUCAAGAACAAGACUACACAAAUCUCAGAGCAAUCCCGACAUGAACCAAGGAAGAGGACCAACAGGAGGGACAGGAACAAGCAAAUGCGGACCAAGUCAGCUAAGAUGGUCACUGCAGUUCAAGGAGGUCAAGAUCGUCGACUUAAAUCACCGUUCCUGACCAAAAAGGAUGACUCUGGUAUCCCAAGCAUCCAGUGCUCCAUUAAUAGAUACAACUUCCAGAAGACGCUUUGCGACACCAGGUCAAGCGUCAACAUAAUGGCCGCAGUCACCUAUCAACUCCUGUUCGGAACCAUACCCCUAAAACCGACAUACAUUUAGCUCCAGAUGGAAGAUCAGACAUUCCGAAAGGUUGAAGGUUAUUGACAUGGGAGAAGACGAGCACGAUCCACCCAUCAUCCUUGGAAGACCGUUCCUCAGCACUGUUAAAGCAAUCAUCUAGAUUGGAACCAGAGAAGUCCACAUGCACUUCCCCUCUAACAAGGUACGCCGCUAUUUUACUGACCCUAACUAUAUAGUUGAAGAUUCUAAGCAGGUCAGGACAAGAAGAAGACGACGCAACCGCAACCAGAGGAGGCAAAUCAUCAAGGACGGAUGGGCAGACUACGAAGAAGAAGUGAUAAGGUCUCAAGACAUACAACUUGAACAGAACAGUCCUGAGGAGACCGUAGCACAGAGUCAGGUGUGGAGAAAGAAGAUAGUUAUACAUGAAGAGCUGGCUCCACCGGAACCACCGACUACGUCAUCCAGCGAAUCCCAGGACGACUGAGAAAAUGGAGAUUCCCGUUCGGAGGACUUAAAAACACUGAACGCCUUGCCAAGAGGUAAACUUGGUAGUUAUCUUUUUCCUUUCAAAUUAUUUAAAAUAGUUUGCUUAGUUAAUCCGGUUCAUAUCAUCUUGAAAAGAAAAUAAAAAUGUUAAAAAAAUAGUAAGCCCCAUGUGAGUAUGCUCAUGGCAUAAAACCCAUAAGUACAUUCACUGUGGUGGCAUAAAAAUGAAAUAAAUAUAUUCCUGUCCUAUAAAAAUAAAAUUAUAAAAAUAAAUUUAUGAUCCUACUAAAAAGAGUAAUAUUUAUUGAGGAGACUCAACAUGAUAAAGGCUAGAUAUUUAUGCUAACACUUAACUAGUUCCACAAGCUUUGUUGUCUAUUUGAGCUCCACAGAAUUCAAGGAUCAAAGAAGACGGAGGACAUCCUAAUCGCUGUCAGAGUGCUGCCGACAUUCAAAUACACCUCCGCCGCCUGCUAGCUACAUUAGAAGAAAUUACAUCAAUAUCCAGCUUGGGGGAGAGCACCCCCAUUUAUCCAGCUAAGUGUUCUACUCACGUUUAUAUUUUACUCAAAUAAUAAAAAGAUGCAUAAUCAUAAAAACCCAAAUAAAGAUUUUGUGCUUAUAUAUAUAUCUUUGCUUAGUUUGCUAAAUAAAUAAAUAAAUAAAAUUUGCUAUGAACCCUCAUGAUAAGCUCUCACAUGGAAAGAUGAAUAGUUGCUCUGCCAUGACUAGUUCUCAAAAUUGAAAUCUCUCUCAAGUUUAGGCAUCACUGUUAUUAAUUAAGAUUUGCUCUAAACCUGAACUUGUGGGAAGAGUACUUGAUCUGAAGUCUAAGUCGUUAACGGAUAUGAUAUGGGAAGGUUGAGCUGCUGUUUAUCUGUUCCUAGAGAUGCUAGAAUUCUGGAGAAUUUUAUCUUUGAAAAUCUUUAAAAUAUCACAUGAUGAGUUCCUGUAUGAUGAGAGUUUAAAUUCCUAUCACAGCCAUAUAUACAUGCUUGCUAGACUAUGAGCCACACAUUUACUUUUUACUGCUUAUGAGCAUUGAGUGUGGUCAAGCCGUGUAGACCCUUAGGAGCUUGUCAUGUGGUUAAGUCAAGAUUCACUUGCACGUUCACUCAUACAUGCUACUUCUACUCUGGAAGUACCAUCCACAUAUACCCAUUUCCAUCUCCAGAACCACCCAAAAAUAUUCUACUCCUAAUCCGGGAGAGAAUAGCCAAAAAUAUUUCUAUUUUUUCCCUGUGAAAUAAAUGCUGAAGUUAUCUUGUCACUACCACUUGCUAUAUUAUCUCAUGAGAUGAGUGCUCUAAAGAAAAAGGAGAAAAAAAAAGAAGAAUACGAGGAAAUAAAAAGGGGCAAUUGCCCGGAACCUCGAAAGAAAAAAAAGAAGAAAAAGUGAGACGAGAGGUAAAAAUGGACAAGUGUCCGACAGUAGAAUUAGGGGUACAAGAUACCCACCUGAGAGAAAAGAAAAAAAAGAAAAAGAAAGAAAAAAGAAAAUAUAGAGCAUCUCAUUCUCCUCAAAAAGUUUCAAAAGAGCAAGAAAGGUAUGUAUCCCCUCAAAAGAGCAUAAGUAGAAUUAGACUUUCACCAUUGUCACCAUCAUCACCAUACACCAUUCAUUCGCCACACAUGCACAUCUUGAUUUGACUAUUUGACUUGUUCUUCUGGAUCCAUGGUUUGACUAUGCAAUAAAUGUCUUGUAAGUAUGUAUUAGCUAUCUCCCACCUAUGAGCUCCACAUAUCAAAAGCCUUAUUAGAAUAGGGUGAGAGAGAAGGCAAUGCCACUAUGCCUCAUACCAAAAAUACCACAUACUUUGAGAGAAGGCAUACACUAUUAAUGCCUUGGUAAGGAUCCAGAAAUACCACAAAAGAGAGACUAGAGAGAGUCAUACAAGGAAUCUCUGAGUUUUAUUUGAAAAUCUGCAAAAACUCCAGAGCUAUAGCUGAUCAAGAAUAAGAGACAUGGUGCUUGACUAGACCGUUCUAUCUUUUAACUGCUCAAGACACAGGUGACGGUUGCAAGUCCCAUGGUGAAAGGUAAAUGAGUAAGUUUUAAGUCUUAACAGUUUACUCUAACCCGAGAUGAGAUCUUGUUUAAACGCAUGUGUAUCUUUAAGUUAUGAAACCACUGCAGAAACUCUUGAGUCCAUCUUUGCUCAGGGACGAGCAAAGGUUAAGCUUGGGGGAGCUUGUUGACGGUCCUUAAUGCUCACAUUUAACCAUCAACUAAUCAUAGAAAAGGAUCUAAAUGGAACCAACACCUAGACUUAGGGUUUUAUCUGAUAGAAUUUCACAAGUUUUGGUGUUUGUCUAUUUCUGCAGGGGGUUAUCAGGAAAUAUGGAAGAAAGGCCCACACGUCGGGUUUACAUAGAGAUAUUAACGUGCCGCACAAUUAUCUACCAUCUAGAAGACUCCAGAAGCCACGGGACCGAAGCGGAGGCCGAGAGGGCUCAGGCACUGGGCGCCCGCCCUAGUCCUAAGGGCGCCCUUCCACCUCUUUCCACCAAUCAGGGCGAAGUUCGGGGAUCAUGCUCACCGACCUAAUACUUCAAGGAAAACCACACGAUCAAUGUCGGUUUGAUCCGACGUCCCAGAUUCACUUGAAGGGACUAUAAAACCAGACCCCCUGGCCCCUGGAGAUCAUACCUCUUCUACAGAAUCAAAGCUAGGGUUUCAAUUCUUCAUCCAAGUAGAGAGGAUCCCUCUAGUUCUUCUAGUUCUACCUCUAGUUCAUCUAGAUCUAGUUCUAGUUCAUCUAGUUCUAGUUCUAGUUCCUCUAGUUCUAGUUCUAGUUAGUUCUAGUUGUAAUCUAGAAAAUAGGGAGAGAGAAGAGGAGAGCGGAGGGGGAGCCGGAUCUGUCGGAUCUUCCUCAACAUUGUACUUUUGCAGCAUCUGGUUCGUUCUUCAUCGUUCUCUAGGUUCUUCAACUCAUAACUCCUGAGUUCUCGAAUUAAUUUUAUUUACAUUCAAGUUAUUUAUUGGAUUCCCGCUUGCAUCAAGUGCUCUAGUCUUUGAAACAUUAUAGUAGUAAUUAAUAGAUUAGACGUGGUGUUUAGUCUUGCAAUUACCUGGAAUUGCACCCAAUCCUGCGAAUUGUUGUGGUAGCCUUAGGGUAGUGACAGCCCUAGCGGUCGACGUAUUCCACCUCGUUCGGAUCGGUGUUUGUAGGACCGUAGUCGGAGCUUCCUAGCCCCCUUCUCAUCUCUUUCUGUGGUUAGUGUUCUGAUGUCCCGAAAUAGAUAAUCUUGAAGUAAUUCUUGAUUCUUAGAUCAACUAGAGAACUCUCAGGAAACUUCCUCUCUUCCCACCAAAAAUAAUCAUAUAGUUAUCCUUGGGCGAUCUUGGAUCUUAAUUAGUACACUCACGUUCCCUGUGGAAAAUCGAUACUCUGGAAUACUCCCGGGUGAAAGCUACAUCGGUAUCCGUGCGCUUGCGGAUUUUUCUGUUUGCAUUUAAAAUACCCAACAACAACUUAGACUUUAGAUCAAGUUUUCAUCCCACAAGUUUAGGUCUAGAGCAAGAUUUAAAUUAUAACAGUUAUAUCUAAACUUGAGAGAGAACUUAAAAUGUACAAAUUAGGCAGAGCAACUAUUCAUCAUAUCCAUGCUUAAGUUUUAUUAUUAAGAUACAGAUUAGCAUAGCCACUUUAUUGAUUUAGUAGACAUACUAAGCAAAAGAC
rnacentral:lncRNA from 1 species